CGGAGGGUGCAAGCGUUAUCCGGAUUCACUGGGUUUAAAGGGUGCGUAGGUGGGUUGGUAAGUCAGUGGUGAAAUCUCCGAGCUUAACUUGGAAACUGCCAUUGAUACUAUCAGUCUUGAAUAAUGUGGAGGUCAGCGGAAUAUGUCAUGUAGCGGUGAAAUGCUUAGAUAUGACAUAGAACACCAAUUGCGAAGGCAGCUGGCUACACAUAUAUUGACACUGAGGCACGAAAGCGUGGGGAUCAAACAGGAUUAGAUACCCUGGUAGUCCACGCCCUAAACUAUGGAUACUCGACAUACGCGAUACACAGUGUGUGUCUGAGCGAAAGCAUUAAGUAUCCCACCUGGGAAGUACGAUCGCAAGAUUG
rnacentral:rRNA from 1 species